CCUACGGGAGGCAGCAGUGGGGAAUAUUGCGCAAUGGGCGAAAGCCUGACGCAGCGACGCCGCGUGAGGGAUGAAGGUCUUCGGAUCUUAAACCUCUUUCAGCAGGGAAGAACGGUCACUUUGCUAAUCAGCAGUGAAUUGACGGUACCUUCAAAGGAAGCACCGGCUAACUCCGUGCCAGCAGCCUCGUUCAUACGGUGGGUGCGAUCGUUAGUCGGAAUUACUUGGCGUAAAGCGCUCGUAGGCGGUAUGUCAAGUCAAGGGUGAAAUCCCCGGGCUCAACGUGGGAACUGCCUUUGAAACUGGGAAACUGGAGUGUGGGAGAGGAUAGUGGAAUUCCAGGUGUAGGGGUGAAAUCCGUAGAUAUCUGGAGGAACAUCAGUGGCGAAGGCGACUAUCUGGCACAUAACUGACGCUGAGGAGCGAAAGCGUGGGUAGCAAACAGGAUUAGAUACCCCUGUAGUC
rnacentral:rRNA from 1 species